rnacentral:lncRNA from 1 species
GAAUGGUUAACAUUCUUAUUUCUACUCACCUAUUCAACGCUGUCUCGGCCUUGUUCUUUAAUAUUCAGAGCCUUUGCUCACUGCCUGACUUCAAAGCUACCUCCACAUUUUCAGGCAUAAUCCUGCAGUAG